rnacentral:tRNA from 1 species
CGCGGGGUGGAGCAGCCCGGUGGCUCAUCAGGCUCAUAAGCUGAAGGUCAAAGGUUCAAAUCCUAUCCCCGCAACCA